GAAGCUACUCACUGGCAAACAAAAGGAGGGGCAAAUUUUUUUUUCACAUAUAUUGGACUUACCCACCCUCUUGUCCCCCUUGCAAGGGGUCAGCAAGUGUGGUUUGUGCAUGUACCAAAAUUGCCUUGCCUCCUUUUGCCUGAUGGGGUGGCCAUUGUUUCCGUGAUGUGCAUUCUGCAGAGUUGGACAAGCAAAAGCA
rnacentral:lncRNA from 1 species